rnacentral:rRNA from 1 species
UACGUAGGGCGCAAGCGUUAUCCGUAAUUAUUGGGCGUAAAGAGCUCGUAGGCGGUUUGUCGCGUCUGCCGUGAAAGUCCGGGGCUCAACUCCGGAUCUGCGGUGGGUACGGGCAGACUAGAGUGAUGUAGGGGAGACUGGAAUUCCUGGUGUAGCGGUGAAAUGCGCAGAUAUCAGGAGGAACACCGAUGGCGAAGGCAGGUCUCUGGGCAUUAACUGACGCUGAGGAGCGAAAGCAUGGGGAGCGAACAGG